AUACGGAGGGUGCAAGCGUUAAUCGGAAUUACUGGGCGUAAAGCGUGCGUAGGCGGCGCAUUAAGUCUGAUGUGAAAUCCCCGGGCUUAACCUGGGAAUUGCAUUGGAUACUGGUGUGCUCGAAUGUGGUAGAGGGUGGCGGAAUUUCUGGUGUAGCGGUGAAAUGCGUAGAUAUCAGAAAGAACACCAAUGGCGAAGGCAGCCACCUGGGCCAACAUUGACGCUGAGGUACGAAAGCGU
rnacentral:rRNA from 1 species